rnacentral:lncRNA from 1 species
UUGGUCUUGUGAUAAGCAAUGGACUGGUAAGAAAGUUCGUAUUUUGCUUUGUUUUCUCUAACUCAAACAAGAUAUAGGGCUGAAAGAUUUACAUCAUUACCUGCAAAAGUUCCGUUAAAUGCUAUGGCUGAAUCAAGAAUUAUUCUUUUUGUAGUUGUUAAUUGGAACCCUUUUCAUGAGUGUGGAAAAAUAAUUAUAUUCACAUAUUACUUGAGUAAAGUCUAGUUUUUUUAGAUUGGUUUGACUCUUAACUUUAUGAUCUAGUGUGUUUCCAAGUGUGUUUCUCUUCCUUUUAUGCGUUUUAUGAUGCAUAUGAUUUUUAAAUUUGAUUAUAAUUGUGAUAAAUAUGUAUUGCAGAAAAAUCUGAAGUGAGCUAGGCAAAUCGUGCAAAAAAAAAAAAAAAAAAAAGGUAACUUUUCAAGGAUCAAAAUCUUAUGCUAUACAUGCACAUGAAAUGAUAAGUCAUAAAUUCAUGAAUUUUAUACAUCAAUUUUAUUUUUUUAAGCAGAGGGAUCCAUUUACAAAAGAGCUACCAGGUCACAUCAAAUUUUUAAUGAAAUGUAUUGUAGCAAUGAACGUGGGUGGACAACUAAAUAAACGGAGUCCCAUUAUGUAAGUAGUUUUAUUUGUUAUAAUUGUAUAAUAAAUAUUACAAAAAUAUAAUAUUUUAUUUAUAAUUUAUAUGGAUUCUCAGAAUUAAAUGGUCGACCUUUUACAAGAACAAAAUUCUCAACGAGAUCCAAAUGAACAACAUAUGCCUUUAGAAGAAUCUGAAAUAUGUGAGCUAGUUUUGGACAAGAGAUUUAGCUACGUGGAUCAAUAGAAAAAUUCAAAGAAGACAAUGUUGGAAAUUUGUGGUACUUUCGUAGAGAAUGUUGCUUUACAGAAUGAUGUUCAUGAUCUUCGUUCUUAAUUGAAAUCUGUCCAAAUAUUCUUUAAGUCGCAUUCUUGGGGAGUUUCUUUAGCAUAUACGAUCUGAUUUGUCUUCAUCCAAUGGUUAAAUAGUAAUAAUUAAUAUUUUUUUUACUUUAUUUUUGGUGACGUAGUAAUGUUAUAUAUUUUUAUUUGAUCGAGGCAAUAGUCUCUAACUUUACAUCUAUUUGUUUUUUAUGUUAAGAACACUAGUGAUUG